rnacentral:misc_RNA from 1 species
GAUGAAGAACGCAGCGAAAUGCGAUAAGUAGUGUGAAUUGCAGAAUUCCGUGAAUCAUCGAAUCUUUGAACGCACAUUGCGCCCGCGAGUAUUCUCGCGGGCAUGCCUGUCCGAGCGUCAUUUCAACCCUCAGGGCCCGCCUGCUUCGGCAGGCGCGGCGCUGGUGUUGGGGAACGGCCUAACCGCCGUCCCCCAAAUACAGUGGCGGUCUCGCUGCAGCCUCCCCUGCGUAGUAGCAACACUCGCAUGCGGAGCGCGGCGCGGCCACGCCGUAAAACCCCCGACUUUCUGAACAUUGACCUCGGAUCAGGUAGGAAUACCCGCUGAACUUAAGCAUAUCAAUAAGCGGAGGA